rnacentral:rRNA from 1 species
GAUGAACGCUGGCGGCGUGCCUAAUACAUGCAAGUCGAACGAACAGAUACGGAAGUUUCCCCUCUGACGUUUGCGGCGCAAGGGUGAGUAACACGUGGAUAACAUCCCUCUAAGACUUGGGUACAUCCGGCGGAAACGAGCGCUUACACGCAAAAAACUCCAACUUCAUAGUUAACUAGUGAAAGACGGUUUUUCUGUCACAAGUAGAUGGCUCGGCGCCGCAUUAGCUAGUUGGUGAGGUAACGGCUUACCAAGGCAACGCUGCGUAGCGGACCUGAGCGGGUGAUCGGCCACACGGGAACUGAGACACGGUCCAGACUCCUACGGGAGGAGGCAGUAGGGAAUCUUCGGCAUGGGGCGAAAGCCGGACGGAGAAACGCCGCGUGAGGGAGGAAGGCCUUGGGUUCUUAAAACUUUGUUAUUAGGGAAGACGAAUUGUGUAUGAAACAAGGCACGUCGUGACGGUACCUAAUCAGAAAGCCACGGCUAACUACGUG